rnacentral:rRNA from 1 species
GACGAACGCUGGCGGCGUGCUUAACACAUGCAAGUCGAACGGAAAGGCCCUGCUCUUGUGGGGCUCUCGAGUGGCGAACGGGUGUGUAACACGUGUGUAACCUGCCCCUGUCUUUCGGAUAUCUUUACGAAACUGGGGCUAAUACCGGAUAGGAGCUCCUGCUGCAUGGUGUGGGUUGGAAAGAUUCGGCGGUUGGGGCUGGACUCGCGGGUUAUCAGCUUGUUGGUGGGGUAGGUGCUUACCAAGGUUUUGACGGGUAGGCCGCCUGGGAGGGUGAACGGGGACAUUGGGCCUGAGAGACGGCGCAGACUCCUACGGGCGGCAGCGGGGGAGAAUAUGACACAGUGGGGGGAAGCGUGAUGCAGCAACGCCGCGUGCGGGAAGACGGCCUACGGGGUAUAAACCGAUUUCGCAUGUAACGAGGCGUGAGUGACGGUAAUGGGUAAAGAAGCACCGGCUAACUACGUG